rnacentral:rRNA from 1 species
CCUACGGGUGGCUGCAGUGGGGAAUUUUGCGCAAUGCUCGUAAGAGUGACGCAGCGACGCCGCGUGAAUGACGAAGGCCUUCGGGUCGUAAAGUUCUUUCGACAGGGAAGAAAAUGCAUAUAAGUAACUGUGUAUGUAUUGACGGUACCUGUAUAAGCAGCCCCGGCUAACUCCGUGCCAGCAGCCGCGGUAAUACGGAGGGGGCGAGCGUUGUUCGGAGUGACUGGGCGUAAAGAGCACGUAGGCGGUGUUGUAAGUCAUUAGUCAAAGACUAGAGCUCAACUUUAGUAAGGCUAGUGAUAGUAGAAGACUAGAGUAUCAGAGAGGAUUGCAGAAUUCCUGGUGUAGCGGUGAAAUGCGUAGAUAUCAGGAGGAAUACCGUUAGCGAAGGCGGCAAUCUGGCUGGAAACUGACGCUGAGGCACGAAGGCCAGGGGAGCGAAAGGGAUUAGAUACCCCAGUAGUC